CCUACGGGGGGCAGCAGUGGGGAAUAUUGCACAAUGGGGGAAACCCUGAUGCAGCGACGCCGCGUGAGCGAUGAAGUAUUUCGGUAUGUAAAGCUCUAUCAGCAGGGAAGAAGAUGACGGUACCUGACUAAGAAGCCCCGGCUAACUACGUGCCAGCAGCCGCGGUAAUACGUAGGAUGCGAGCGUUAUCCGGAAUUACUGGGUGUAAAGGGAGCGCAGGCGGGACUGCAAGUUGGAUGUGAAAUACCGCAGCUUAACUGCGGAGCUGCAUCCAAAACUGUAGUUCUUGAGUGGAGUAGAGGCAA
rnacentral:rRNA from 1 species